rnacentral:rRNA from 1 species
AUUGAACGCUGGCGGCAUGCCUUACACAUGCAAGUCGAACGGCAGCAUAGGAGCUUGCUCCUGAUGGCGAGUGGCGAACGGGUGAGUAAUAUAUCGGAACGUGCCCUAGAGUGGGGGAUAACUAGUCGAAAGACUAGCUAAUACCGCAUACGAUCUACGGAUGAAAGUGGGGGAUCGCAAGACCUCAUGCUCCUGGAGCGGCCGAUAUCUGAUUAGCUAGUUGGUGGGGUAAAAGCUCACCAAGGCGACGAUCAGUAGCUGGUCUGAGAGGACGACCAGCCACACUGGGACUGAGACACGGCCCAGACUCCUACGGGAGGCAGCAGUGGGGAAUUUUGGACAAUGGGGGCAACCCUGAUCCAGCAAUGCCGCGUGAGUGAAGAAGGCCUUCGGGUUGUAAAGCUCUUUUGUCAGGGAAGAAACGGUUCUGGAUAAUACCUGGGACUAAUGACGGUACCUGAAGAAUAAGCACCGGCUAACUACGUGCCAGCCGCCGCCGUAAUAC